UACGUAGGGGGCUAGCGUUGUCCGGAAUCAUUGGGCGUAAAGAGCGUGUAGGCGGCUCGGUAAGUCCGCUGUAAAAGUCAAAGGCUCAACCUUUGAAUGUCAGUGGAUACUGCCGGGCUAGAGUCCGGAAGAGGCGAGUGGAACUCCUGGUGUAGCGGUGGAAUGCGCAGAUAUCAGGAGGAACACCGGUGGCGAAGGCGGAUCUCUGGACAGUUCCUGACGCUGAGGCACGAAGGCCAGGGGAGCAAACGGG
rnacentral:rRNA from 1 species